GGCUCGGUGGUGGAUGGUCCGUACCUGUGUCCUGUGGAAAAUCCGCAAUGCAUCUAAGCAGGGGAUGCCUGUUCGAAUCAGGUCUGAGCCA